CGAAACCUUCCGAAGAUGCUUUGGUGCCUUCGGGAACUCUGAGACAGGUGCUGCAUGGCUGUCGUCAGCUCGUGUUGUGAAAUGUUGGGUUAAGUCCCGCAACGAGCGCAACCCUUAUCCUUUGUUGCCAGCGGUUCGGCCGGGAACUCAAAGGAGACUGCCAGUGAUAAACUGGAGGAAGGUGGGGAUGACGUCAAGUCAUCAUGGCCCUUACGAGUAGGGCUACACACGUGCUACAAUGGCGCAUACAAAGAGAAGCGACCUCGCGAGAGCAAGCGGACCUCAUAAAGUGCGUCGUAGUCCGGAUUGGAGUCUGCAACUCGACUCCAUGAAGUCGGAAUCGCUAGUAAUCGUAGAUCAGAAUGCUACGGUGAAUACGUUCCCGGGUCUUGUACACACCGAA
rnacentral:rRNA from 1 species